UGUGGUGAGCCCAGCAUAAGGUGCCACUCUCCAAACUCCUGUAGCCCAAAUCUGUGCUGACUGUGGAACACAUCCUUGUAUCUAACUUACAUACCUCUGUUGAAUGCACAAGCAAUGGUGGAUGUUAAUGCAGUUAAAAAUACUUGUCAUCGGGGCAAUCAGUUCAAGA